rnacentral:rRNA from 1 species
GAUGAACGCUAGCGAUAGGCCUAACACAUGCAAGUCGAGGGGCAUCACAUGAAGUAGCAAUACGGAUGGUGGCGACCGGCGCACGGGUGAGUAACACGUAUGCAACCUGCCUUCAACAAGGGGAUAACCCGUUGAAAGACGGACUAAUACCCUAUAACACAGGGGUCCCGCAUGGGAAUAUUUGUUAAAGGACAACCGGUUGAAGAUGGGCAUGCGUUCCAUUAGCUAGUUGGCGGGGUAACGGCCCACCAAGGCAACGAUGGAUAGGGGAACUGAGAGGUUUAUCCCCCACACUGGUACUGAGACACGGACCAGACUCCUACGGGAGGCAGCAGUGAGGAAUAUUGGUCAAUGGACGCAAGUCUGAACCAGCCACGUCGCGUGAAGGAAGACGGCCCUACGGGUUGUAAACUUCUUUUAUACGGGAAUAAAGUGCCCCACGCGUGGGGUUUUGCAUGUACCGUAUGAAUAAGAUCGGCUAACUCCGUGCCAGCAGCCGCGGUAAAUCACACUA